GAUGAAGAACGCAGCAAAAUGCGAUAAGUAAUGCGAAUUGCAGAAUUCAGUGAGUCAUCGAAUCUUUGAACGCACAUUGCGCCCUGUGGUAUUCCGCAGGGCAUGCCUGUUCGAGCGUCAUUUCAACCCUCAAGCCCCGCUUGGUGUUGGGCCCCGCCCGCUGUGGCCGGCCCUAAAGACAGUGGCGGCGCCGCCUGGCCCUCAGCGUAGUACAUCUCUCGCUCCAGGGUCCGGUGGCCGCCUGCCAGAACCCCCCAUCUCUGUGGUUGACCUCGGAUCAGGUAGGGAUACCCGCUGAACUUAAGCAUAUCAAUAAGCGGAGGA
rnacentral:misc_RNA from 1 species